UCCUGGCUCGAGGACGAACGCUGGCGGCGUGCUUAACACAUGCAAGUCGAGCGGAAAGGCUCCUUCGGGGGUACUCGAGCGGCGAACGGGUGAGUAACACGUGAGUAAUCUGCCCUUGGCUUUGGGAUAACUACCGGAAACGGUGGCUAAUACCGGAUACGACCACUCCUUGCAUGAGGUGGUGGUGGAAAGUUUUUCGGCCAGGGAUGUGCUCGCGGCCUAUCAGCUUGUUGGUGGGGUAAUGGCCUACCAAGGCUUCGACGGGUAGCCGGCCUGAGAGGGUGACCGGCCACACUGGGACUGAGACACGGCCCAGACUCCUACGGGAGGCAGCAGUGGGGAAUAUUGGACAAUGGGCGGAAGCCUGAUCCAGCAACGCCGCGUGAGGGAUGACGGCCUUCGGGUUGUAAACCUCUUUCAGUACCGACGAAGCGCCGAUGAUGGUGGUGACGGUAGGUACAGAAGAAGCACCGGCCAACUACGUG
rnacentral:rRNA from 1 species